CCUACGGGAGGCAGCAGUCGAGAAUCAUUCACAAUGGGGGAAACCCUGAUGGUGCGACGCCGCGUGGGGGAAUGAAGGUCUUCGGAUUGUAAACCCCUGUCAUGUGGGAGCAAAUUAAAAAGAUAGUACCACAAGAGGAAGAGACGGCUAACUCUGUGCCAGCAGCCGCGGUAAUACAGAGGUCUCAAGCGUUGUUCGGAAUCACUGGGCGUAAAGCGUGCGUAGGCUGUUUCGUAAGUCGUGUGUGAAAGGCGCGGGCUCAACCCGCGGAAGGCACAUGAUACUGCGAGACUAGAGUAAUGGAGGGGGAACCGGAAGUCUCGGGGUAGCAGUGAAAUGCGGAGAUAUCGAGAGGAACACUCGUGGCGAAGGCGGGUUCCUGGACAUUAACUGACGCUGAGGCACGAAGGCCAGGGGAGCGAAAGGGAUUAGAUACCCCUGUAGUC
rnacentral:rRNA from 1 species